rnacentral:rRNA from 1 species
UACGUAGGCAGCAAGCGUUGUUCGGAAUUACUGGGCGUAAAGCGUGCGUAGGCGGUGCCUCAAGUUUGGUGUGAAAUCUCCCGGCUUAACUGGGAGGGUGCGCCGAAAACUGAGGUGCUCGUGUGUGGGAGAGGUAGGCGGAAUUCCUGGUGUAGCGGUGAAAUGCGUAGAUAUCAGGAGGAACACCGGCGGUGUAGACGGCUUACUGGACCACUACUGACGCUGAGGCACGAAAGUGUGGGUAGCAAACAGG